rnacentral:rRNA from 1 species
UACGUAGGGUGCGAGCGUUGUCCGGAAUUACUGGGCGUAAAGAGCUCGUAGGUGGUUUGUCGCGUUGUUCGUGAAAACUCACAGCUCAACUGUGGGCGUGCGGGCGAUACGGGCAGACUGGAGUACUGCAGGGGAGACUGGAAUUCCUGGUGUAGCAGUGAAAUGCGUAGAUAUCAGGAGGAAUACCGAUGGCGAAGGCAGGUCUCUGGGCUGACACUGACGCUCAUGCACGAAAGCGUGGGGAGCAAACAGG